rnacentral:rRNA from 1 species
ACUAAAUAGGAUUCCCUCAGUAAUGGCGAAUGAACAGGGAUGAGCUCAGGCUGGAAACCGAUACAUCUGUGUCGGGCUGUAGCCUGCAGGCAUAGCGCUAUCGGCGGCUCGAGCGCAAGCCUCUUGGAAUAGAGCGUGUGCCCGGGUGAGAAUCCUGCAUUUCGCUCGAUGUCCGCUGUCCACAGUGCUUGUUCUGAGAGUCACGCUCCUCGGAAUUGGAGCGUAAAUCAGGUGGUAAGUUUCAUCCAAAGCUAAAUAGAAGCUCGAGACCAAUAGCAAACAAGUACCAUGAGGGAAAGAUGAAAAGGACUUUGGAAAGAGAGUUAAAAGUGUUUGAAAUUGCUGAGAGCGAAGCGAACGGAGCCACAUGUCGUGCUGAGAUUGCUGUGGGUCUUUGUGAGCCUUGAGCAUGUAAGCGCAAGCUGACUGCUUAUGCGUGAGCAUUUGCCCGCAGUGUUUCUCAGCAUGCGAGUCAUUAGCCACAUUUGUUUGAGGAUGGCCUUCAGCUCACAUGGUACACUUGUUAGUGUGCCUCUGUGC